UCAACGGCCCUUAUCAGGGCCACAAAUUUGUUCAUACGUUUGGCAU
rfam:Cyphomyrmex costatus contig16519, whole genome shotgun sequence.